rnacentral:rRNA from 1 species
GUCGAACGGUAAGUUAGUUGCUUGCAACUAACACGAGUGGCGCACGGGUGAGUAACGCGUACGCGACCUGCCCUCAGGAGGGAAAUAGCCCUGGGAAACCGGGAUUAAUGUCCCAUGUGAUUGUAUUUCUAAGGGAUAUAAUUAAAGGAGCGAUCCGCUUGAGGAUGGGCGUGCGUGCUAUUAGCUAGUUGGUGAGGUAAUGGCUCACCAAGGCGACGAUAGCUAGGGGGCGUGAGAGCGUGACCCCCCACACGGGUACUGAGACACGGACCCGACUCCUACGGGAGGCAGCAGUAAGGAAUAUUGGACAAUGGGGGCAACCCUGAUCCAGCCAUCCCGCGUGCAGGAAGACGGCCCUAUGGGUUGUAAACUGCUUUUAUUAGGGAAGAAUAGCAUCAAUGAAUUGGUGUAUGACGGUACCUAAAGAAUAAGCACCGGCUAACUCCGUGCCAGCAGCCGCGGUAAUACGGAGGGUGCAAGCGUUAUCCGGAAUCACUGGGUUUAAAGGGUGCGUAGGUGGAAUAAUAAGUCAGGCGUGAAAGGUUACAGCUUAACUGUAGACUUGCGUUUGAUACUGUGAUUCUUGAAUUAACGAUGAGGUUGGCAGAAUGCGACAUGUAGCGGUGAAAUGCAUAGAUAUGUCGUAGA